GCUGGUGUUUUCACACGGGCCCCUGCCAGACCAUUUGCGGCGUGUAACUGGUGUUUUCGAGGGAUACCCGAUGCCGCAAAGUGGGGAAGAGCUCAGUGUUGUCAACAAGGACCUGAGUCAACCCUCCUCCCCCAGCAAAACAAACAAAAACUGGUAUUUUCAAAAAAACUGGCUUCAUGUUUCCAGCCAGUAAACUUCCAGGAAGGCUAGAUAAUGCCCAGAUUUGUGAACAAAUGGUGUCUUACCUAACCCUGACCAGCUUUACAUGAUUUACAGUAGAGUUUGGAGAGGCGAGUGUUUGAGCUCACACUGCCAUCUGCUGGAAACAGAUGCAAAAACAAGAAGCCAAAACCAUGUCUGCACCACACAGACGUGCCAAAACGCCCCAACAUGGCUCCCGAAAAUGUCUCUGUCAACCUCAUGAACAAAUUCACCCCAAAUCAACACCGACUUCCCCCCAAAAACACAACCAGCCCCACAAUCCAAAGCUCAGGCUGGUCCGUCGACAGAUCCUCCUGCUGCUCUCAGAUCAGCCCAGAUCCAGGUUCAUCUCCAGCUGAAGGAGUCGGCUCCAGGCGUUGGCCCGUUCUGCCCUGAGCUGUGUGCUGGUGCUGACUCAUCUCUACCAGGUAAUUUUCUAUCAUUUACCGUCUCUAUAAGUAAACAUCAAGGCUGAGGAUCGUUUAAAGGUUU
rnacentral:lncRNA from 1 species